GAUGAACGCUGGCGGCGUGCCUAAUACAUGCAAGUCGAGCGAACGGACGAGAAGCUUGCUUUUCUGAUGUUAGCGGCGGACGGGUGAGUAACACGUGGAUAACCUACCUAUAAGACUGGGAUAACUUCGGGAAACCGGAGCUAAUACCGGAUAAUAUUUUGAACCGCAUGGUUCAAAAGUGAAAGACGGUCUUGCUGUCACUUAUAGAUGGAUCCGCGCUGCAUUAGCUAGUUGGUAAGGUAACGGCUUACCAAGGCAACGAUGCAUAGCCGACCUGAGAGGGUGAUCGGCCACACUGGAACUGAGACACGGUCCUGACUCCUACGGGAGGCAGCAGUAGGGAAUCUUCCGCAAUGGGCGAAAGCCUGACGGAGCAACGCCGCGUGAGUGAUGAAGGUCUUCGGAUCGUAAAACUCUGUUAUUAGGGAAGAACAUAUGUGUAAGUAACUGUGCACAUCUUGACGGUACCUAAUCAGAAAGCCACGGCUAACUACGUG
rnacentral:rRNA from 1 species